CCCGCACAAGCGGUGGAGCAUGUGGUUUAAUUCGAAGCAACGCGAAGAACCUUACCAGGCCCUUGACAUGCUAGGGAACCCGGGUGAAAGCCUGGGGUGCCCCGCGAGGGGAGCCCUAGCACAGGUGCUGCAUGGCCGUCGUCAGCUCGUGCCGUGAGGUAUUGGGUUAAGUCCCGCAACGAGCGCAACCCCCGCCGUUAGUUGCCAGCGGUUCGGCCGGGCACUCUAACGGGACUGCCCGCGAAAAGCGGGAGGAAGGAGGGGACGACGUCUGGUCAGCAUGGCCCUUACGGCCUGGGCGACACACGUGCUACAAUGCCCACUACAAAGCGAGGCCACCCGGCAACGGGGAGCUAAUCGCAAAAAGGUGGGCCCAGUUCGGAUUGGGGUCUGCAACCCGACCCCAUGAAGCCGGAAUCGCUAGUAAUCGCGGAUCAGCCAUGCCGCGGUGAAUACGUUCCCGGGCCUU
rnacentral:rRNA from 1 species